GUGGCUCGGGAGCGGCCCGGAGGAGCCGGCGGCGGCCCGAGGAACAAGGGACCGAACCGCGAGUCAUGCCACGCUGGGGGUGGGGGGGGGCCGCACAGCCACCGCCACCGCCACCGCUGCCAGAAUGGCCCUGUGGAUAAGCACAAAGUCAAGAGACAGCGAUUGGACAAAAUCUGUGAAGGUAUCCGUCCCCAGAUCAUGAACGGCCCCCUGCACCCCCGCCCCCUGGUGGCACUGCUGGACGGCCGCGACUGCACCGUGGAGAUGCCGAUCCUGAAGGACCUGCCACCGUGGCCUUCUGUGACGCCCAGUCCACUCAGGAGAUUCAUGAGAAGGUUUUAAACGAAGCCGUGGGUGCCAUGAUGUACCACACAAUCACUCUCACCAGGGAGGACCUGGAGAAAUUCAAGGCCCUGAGAGUGAUCGUGCGGAUAGGCAGCGGCUACAACAACGUGGACAUCUAGGCUUCUGGCGAGCUCGGGAUCGCUGUGUGCAACAUCCCGUCUGCAAUCGUGGAGGAGACGGCCGACUCCACCAUCUGCCACAUCCUCAACCUGUACCGGCGGAACACGUGGCUGAACCAGGUGCUGCGGGAAGGCACGCGGGUGCAGUGUGGAGCAGAUCCGCGAGGUCGCCUCGGGAACCGCCCACAUCCGUGGGGAGACGCUGGGCCUCAUUGGCUUUGGUCAGACGGGGCAGGCGGUUGCUGUUCGAGUCAAGGCCUUUGGAUUCAGCGUCAUAUUUUAUGACCCCUACUUGCAGGAUGGGAUAGAGCGGUCCCUGGGCGUGCAGAGGGUCUACACCCUGCAGGACUUGCUGUAUCAGAGCGACUGCGUCUCCUUGCACUGCAAUCUCAACGAACAUAACCACCACCUCAUCAAUGACUUUACCAUAAAGCAGAUGAGGCAAGGGGCAUUCUUGGUGAAUGCAGCCCGAGGUGGCCUGGUGGACAAGAAAGCCUUAGCCCAGGCCCUCAAGGAGGGCAGGAUACGAGGGGCAGCCCUCGACGUGCACGAGUCAGAGCCCUUUAGCUUUGCUGAAGGUCCACUGAAAGAUGCACCGAAUCUCAUCUGCACGCCCCACACAGCCAGCCUGGUUUAGUGAGCAAGCGUCACUAGAGAUGAGGGAAGCAGCCGCCACUGAGAUCCGCCGAGCAAUCACAGGUCGCAUCCCAGAAAGCUUAAGAAACCGUGAACAAGGAAUCCUUUGUCACUUCAGCUCCUUGGUCAGUAAUAGACCAGCAAGCAAUUCAUCCCGAGCUCAAUGGUGCCAAGUAGAGAUAUCCGCCAGGCAUUGUGGGCGUGGCUCCGGGAGGACUUCCUGCAGCCGUGGAAGGGAUCAUCCCUGGAGGCACCCCAGUGACUCACAAUCUCCCUACAGUGGCACACCCUUCCCAAGCUCCCUCUCCCAACCAGCCCACAAAACACGGGGACAAUCGAGAGCACCCCAAUGAGCAAUAG